rnacentral:rRNA from 1 species
AAUGAACGCUGGCGGCAGGCCUAACACAUGCAAGUCGAACGAAGCCAUCGAGUUGAGUGGCGCAUGGGUGAGUAACGCCUGGGAAGCUGCCCCUGGGUUGGGAAUAACAUGUGGAAAGGGCUGCUAAUAUCGGAAGGUUACGUAAGUCCAAAGAUUUAUUGCGGAGGGAUGAGCCCGCGUAGGGUUAGGUAGUUGGUGUGGUAAGGGCGCACCAAGCCGACGAGCCGUAGCUGGGCUGAGAGGAUGAUCAGCCACACUGGGACUGAGACACGGCGCAGACUCCUGCGGGAGGCAGGAGUGGGGAAUAUUGGACAAUGGGCGAAAGCAUGAUCCAGCAAUGCCGCGUGAGUGAUGAAGGCCUUAGGGUUGUAAAGCUCUUUUACCCGGGAUGAUAAUGACAGUACCGGGAGAAUAAGCACCGGCUAACUCCGUG